GCUUUAACUGACGCUGAGGCACGAAAGCAUGGGUAGCAAACAGGAUUAGAUACCCUGGUAGUCCAUGCCGUAAACGAUGAUUACUAGGUGUGGGGGGAUUGACCCCUUCCGUGCCGCAGUUAACACAAUAAGUAAUCCACCUGGGGAGUACGGCCGCAAGGUUGAAACUCAAAGGAAUUGACGGGGGCCCGCACAAGCAGUGGAGUAUGUGGUUUAAUUCGAAGCAACGCGAAGAACCUUACCAGGUCUUGACAUCGAGUGACGUAUCCAGAGAUGGAUAUUCCCUACGGGGCACGAAGACAGGUGGUGCAUGGUUGUCGUCAGCUCGUGUCGUGAGAUGUUGGGUUAAGUCCCGCAACGAGCGCAACCCUUGCUGUUAGUUGCUACGCAAGAGCACUCUAACAGGACUGCCGUUGAUAAAACGGAGGAAGGUGGGGACGACGUCAAAUCAUCAUGCCCCUUAUGACCUGGGCUACACACGUACUACAAUGGCCGUAAACAAAGGGAAGCAAAGGAGCGAUCCGGAGCAAACCCCCAAAAACGGUCCCAGUUCAGAUUGUAGGCUGCAACCCGCCUACAUGAAGUGGAAUGCUAGUAAUC
rnacentral:rRNA from 1 species